CUAGAGCAAAGCUCUAAGCUGAAUGAUCCACAGUGGACAUGUUGUAUGACUGCCUCGCAUGAUGGCAAAUGGCAUAUUUAAAUGGUAAAAGGCUUGAUCUCUAUCUCAAAACAUUUGACAUACUCACACUGAAGAUGGAAAAAACUGUUUUUGAUGGCUUCAGAGGAAAGACUGUGUACUAAGAAGAGCAAGACUCAGGGUGGAACAGCCCUUCUCUGGAGCAUACCAAAGAAGAAUUGGAUCCAACCUAUAGUUGACCA
rnacentral:lncRNA from 1 species